rfam:Picea glauca, whole genome shotgun sequence.
UGGUAGCAUGCUUAACACAUGCAAUUCAGAUGGGAAGUGGUGUUUCCAGUGGCGGAUGGGUGAGUAACGCGUAAGAACCUGCCCUUGGGAGGGGAACAACAGCUGGAAAUGACUGCUAAUACCCCAUAGGCUAAGCAGAAAAAGGAGGAAUCCGCCCGAGGGGCUCGCGUCUGAUUAGUUAGUUGGUGAGGCAAUGGCUUACCAAGGUGACGAUCAGUAUCUGGUCCGAGAGGAUGAUCAACCACACUGGGACUGAGACACGACCCAGACUCCUAUGGGAGGCAACAGUGGGGAAUUUUUCGCAAUGGGCGAAAUCUUGACGGAGCAAUGUUGCAUGAAGGGAGAAGGCCCACGGGUCAUGAACUUAUUUUCUCGGAGAAGAAACAAUGAAGUUAUCUGAGGAAUAAGCAUCGACUAACUAUGUGCCAGCAGCCGCGGUAAGACAGUGGAUGCAAGUGUUAUCUGGAAUGAUUGGGCGUAAAGCAUCUGUAGGUGGCUUUUCAAGUCCACCGUCAAAUCCCAGGGCUCAACUCUGGAUAGGCGGUGGAAACUACCAAGCUGGAGUAUGGUAGGGGCAGAGGGAAUUUUCGGUGGAGCAGUGAAAUGCGUUGGGAUCAGAAAGAACACCAACGGUGAAAGCACUCUGCUGGGCCGACACUGACACUGAGAGAUGAAAGUUAGGGGAGAAAAUGGGAUUAGAUACCCCAGUAGUCCUAGCCGUAAACGAUGGAUACUAAUUGUUGUGUGUAUUGACCCACGUAGUGAUGUAGCUAACGCGUUAAGUAUCCCGCCUGGAGUGUACGUUCGCAAGAAUGAAACUCAAAGGAAUUGAUGGGGGGCCGCACAAGCGGUGGAGCAUGUGGUUCAAUUCGAUGCAAAGUGAAGAACCUUACCAGGGCUUGACAUGCCGUGAAUCCUCCCGAAAGAGAGGAGUGCCUUCGGGAACACAGACACAGGUGGUGCAUGGUUGUCGUCAGCUCAUGUCGUAAGUUGUUGGGUUAAGUCCCGCAAUGAGUGCAACCCUUAUGUUUAGUUGCCAACAUUGAGUUUGGAACCCUGAACAGACUGACGGUGAUAAGCCGGAUGAAGGUGAGGAUGACGUCAAGUCAUCAUGCCCCUUACGCCCUGGGCGACACACGUGCUACAAUGAUCGGGACAAAGGGUCAUGACCCCGCGAGGGGAAGCUAACCUCAAAAACCUGACCUCAGUUUGGAUUGCAGGCUGCAACUCGCCUGCAUGAAGCCAGAAUCACUAGUAAUCGUCGGUCAGCCAUACGGCGGUGAAUCCAUUCCCGGGCCUUGUACACACCGCCCGUCACACUAUGAUAGCUGGCCAUGCCCCAAGUCAUUACCUUAGCUGCAAGGAGGUGGAUGUCGAAGGCUGGGCUAGUGACUAGAGUGAAUUUGUAACAAGGUAGCCGUACUGGAAGGUGCGGCUGGAUCACCUCCUUU